AAAAAAAGUCAUUAUGUAUGUAUAAUAGCAAUUUAAUCACUAUCUAUCUGGCCAGAGUCUAGCGACGGCCUUCGAAAACAAAAAACACGGCAAUUUUUCUCGCCAAACACGGCAGUCCAUUUAGUUGAGUCGGGAAACUGAGUUUGGCCAGCCAGUAUUGAUAAAGGCCCCAGUAAACUAUGGCCUGUGAUAGGCCAUGCUUUACAACGCACAACUGUAGGCCACGAUCACUUGUUCACACAAUGGCACAUGGCUUAUUGCUGCUUGGCAAAACACUUGCGAUUUCUUUGAAGUAUGCUCAAAAACUGACAUCAUGCUGAUUGCGCGCUACGAUUGACAAUAGUCCGCCACGACAUACCAAUAACUUCUGUACACAAUGGCGAUCGCCUGAAGUGGGCCAGUAUACGACAUUGUGUACUUAUAAUUAUGUAAUUAUAAGAUUAAAAUUAUAAUUAUAAUUAUGAAAAAAAUAUAAUUAUGUCGAGCAUUGUCUUGUCGGGCCAACCAAGUACACUUGGUCCAAUUUGGUCGGGUGGUUGGGUCCAACCAAAUUAGCCACAUGCCAUGUUCUUGCGCGACGGGAUAAAAAGCCAGUUUUCCAAUUUAAAUCAGCCAGUCGCAAGGAACAUAAACACAAUACCUAGGUACGAGUAAAUUAUAACCUCUUAUCAUUUGUAGUAGACUAUAAAAAGUAUAAAUACUAAAGCCAUUGCAAAAUAAAUCGAUAUUGAAAGUUGAGUUCCACUUAAUUCAGUGUAGCUACUUACUACUGACUACAACAAUGUUCCGUUUGCCAUACGGAGAAAGGGUUGACCCAAUGGAGGAAAAGCGCCAGGCGCGUGAAAACACUAUUAGUAGCGUAAUAACCUUCGCUAUAUUAUGUGCCGCUAUCAGAGUCGCUCCCAUUAUUUUGGAACACAGCGGACUUUAAUCAUAGAAAAAUUUACACCACAUGGAGAAAAUCUAACACCACAUUGAGAAAACAUGCUAGCUGAUUUAGAUGGCCGGAUUAUCAAUAACAUAAGACAAAUAAAUGCCUAAAAACUAGA